GUCUUAUAGAUAAUAAUUUUAAGUCUAAUCUGCCCAAUGAAUUAAUUUUAAUGGCUGCAGUAUACAUAACUGUACUAAGGUAGCAUAAUAAUUUGUUUUUUAAUUAAAAACUAGAAUAAAAGAUUUAAUGAAAUACAUACUAUAUCAAUAAAAUUAAAUAUUAAAAUUAAAUUUUAAGUUAAAAUUCUUAAAUUAAUUUUAUAGACAAAAAGACCCUAUAGAAUUUUAUAUAAUUAAAAUUUAAUUAUUUUUAAUAAAUAUUAAAAUUAAAAAUUAUAUUUAAUUGGGGUAAUUUUAAAAUUUAAAAAAUUUUUAAAUUUAAUUUACAUAAAUAUAUGAUUAUAAAAACUUUAAAAUUUUAAAUAAUAAAAUAAAUUACCUUAGGGAUAACAGCGUUAUUUUUUUUAAAAGAUCUUAUUAAUAAAAAAUUUAC
rnacentral:rRNA from 1 species